AGUGAGUAGGUGUUGUUGUGCACGGGAAAUUUUGGUUUUCUUAGGCGCCGGUCAUAGGGCGACUUGCUA
rnacentral:tRNA from 1 species